AACUAGUAGAAAAGGAAAAGCAAG
rnacentral:piRNA from 1 species